rfam:Erinaceus europaeus unplaced genomic scaffold scaffold00340, whole genome shotgun sequence
CCUGGAAGCAAAAUAAAGAGACAAUCAAACAUUAAGACCACGCAUGUGUCCCCAGACCUAGUUCUUUACCUAGUUCUGGCUAUCUAAAUGCGGGUGUUAAAC